UAUAUAAAUCAAUAUUCAAAGAUGGCGCAAAAAUAUGUGUAUAAAUCAAUAGUCAAAAAUGGCCCAAACAGGGAAUGACAACUGAUUUAGGAGAGCCUACUCCAUAAAGCAGAUGGCAUUCUCUCCCCACUUUUUCCUCGCACUGGCCUUGUAAUUGAAACAGAGAUCACAGUAAACAAGCUUCAGUUCACAAAAGCCGAAGAUCGAAAAAAGAAUAAACAAGCCUCACAAUCCAAGAGCAACUAAGCAACGGGAGCAAAGGCCACGUUGUUUUGUUAUGUAGUUGUUUUGUUAUGUAGCAAACAAGCCUCACUUCAUACUUCAUCUUCUUUCAUAACUAUGUUUUGUUAUGUAGUUGUACAACAAAGGCCAUGUUCAAAAGAACUGUGGUUUUGAUUUGUUAAAAGUUUACAUGAUUAAAAAGUGCAGA
rnacentral:misc_RNA from 1 species